rnacentral:lncRNA from 1 species
CUGCAGCCCUCCCCACCCUUAAAGUGCGCGUAUAAACUUCUUCCCUGGAACCCUUUGGGGAGUUCGGACCUUCUGAGCAUGACCCACCUCUUCUCCUUGCAUGGCCCUUGCCAUAAGUCUUCCCCUGCUCCAAACUGACCUUCAGGUGUGUUUGGCCUCGCUGUGCUUUGGGCGACCACACUUGCUUAAGGGCAUAUUUCAGACGUCGCCGUUCGUGAAAAACGAAAAAGAUCUUGCCUUGUCAGAAGUGGGAUUCGAACCCACGCCUCCAG